rfam:Myotis lucifugus cont2.21159, whole genome shotgun sequence.
AUAUGUGUCUAUGGGCCUCUCAUAGUGGACCCAUGCCAGAGGAAGUUGCAGCCUCAAACCAUUGCCCAGCCUCCUUACCCUUGGGCUGUGAGCACUGAAGGGGGCUGUACAGUA